UGCUGGCAACGCUCAUGAGUCAAGGUCAAACAUACCAACCCUCUCGCAUGCGUCACCAUAAAAUUAAUCGCUUCUGGUGUAAUAAAAUCAGCGGCCAUUA
rnacentral:antisense_RNA from 1 species